GGAUCCAGGGUAGUUUACCUGAUUUCCGGAACUCACUCAAAUUUUUUCCGACCUAGUUAAAUGUUGAUAAAAGUACUUUUGGAAAACACUCUAAUUUCCCUUUGGAAACUACUGAUACUUUUGUGGAAAUCACUAAACGUCUUCCAGAAAUAAACCAUCUUCCUGUUUUACAGUUAUUUAUUAAAGAAAAUACGUUUAGAAUGACUAAUUUCGUUAUAAUUGCGGUCAUGAGGCGUUCGGGAGCGCUCCGGAUCACGCGCUGGCCUUUCGAGCUUCGAUUACACCUCGGAAACCGUCGGAAGCCGUCGGAAAAUGUUCGUGGAGCCAAUCUUUACGCAACCGGUGGGUGUAAGUCCUUGUUAUUUGGUGACAAUAACAGGCGGAACACAGUCAAAACCCCUCACGAUUGGCUAGCAAAGAUUUCGUCAUCGGAACUCACUCAAAACACUCUUCUGAUUGGCUAGUUGUGUUUGGAAACUACCUUGGAAACUACUGACAAAGUAUAAAAAGGGCAGUUCCUCCCCCAGCGGGUCUCUUUCGUUGCUCCUACAAUACAAGUACUUUUGAACUUGCUCAGGGGUUAACGACGGAAUUUACUGUUAAAACGUUUAAAAAAUACUAGUGUUAUGACUCGCGGAGAUCCUGUUUGUCGGAGGGAGGAUUGUUCUCCCUUCGACAUUGGCCUAGUUUUCGACGAGAUCCACAACUACUCGCCGCAUCAGAAGCUGGAGUUCGUCGAAAACGUGUGGAAACCAGGAAGCAGUGACCAUUGCAAGACAAGUAGCAGUCCAGCCAGAAAUGCCAAGGAUAGCCCAGAGACAAAUGCAUAGAAAUAAUGCUCCUGCUGCAACUCCUGAGGGAUAUUUCAAGAUCAAUCUCACUAGAGUUUUUCUUGACCAUGUACUCCAGCAGCUCAACACCAGAUUCCAGGAUGAUGUAUUUGUUUGCUAUAAAGGUAUUUCGAUUAUUCCCUCUGUUUUACUAGCUACUGACCCUGCCUGGAAGGCCAAUGUUUUGGAAUUUUGUAACCAUUACAGACAGGACAUACCAAAUUAUGCAGGAUUACAGGCAGAGCUUUUGUUAUGGGAGAGAUUGUGGAAGGGGAGGGAUAACAGAGGAGAUAUUAUUCCUGACAGUUUGGAGGCUACACUGAAGGAUAUUGACAAAGAUGCAUAUGUCAACAUCUAUUCCAUGCUGAAAGUCCUGAUCACAAUUCCAAUUUCACCUGCAUCUUGUGAGAGAUCCAUAUCAUCCCUUCGGAAUCUUAAGAACUAUUUGAGAAAUACAAUGACCCAGGACAGACUGAAUGGAUUGGCACUGAUGCAUGCCCGUGGAUUUUUGACCUUGAACGUAUAAUAGAUUUAUUUGCUGAGUUACAUCCUAGGAGAAUGAGAAUGGCAAACAUUUUGUAAUAAUUUUUUGCACCAGCUGUUUCUAGAGUACUUGUGAGUUAUGUUCUGCCUGGGUUAUGGCCUUUAAGUCUCAUAAUCCUUAAACUGAUGGAGAACAGUACAGAAGCUCAAACUGGUGCCUGUAUAACUUUUUUCAACUCAUUUCAAGGUUAUUUUCUAUUUUGUUUUACUUGUGAUGAUUUUCCAUUGACAUUGACAUUGGGUUUUCAUGUUAAGCUUAAAUGGUUAACAAACAUUUUCACUGAACUCAACCAGCUUCACAGCAAUUCCCAAGGAUGAAGAAAGGCUAGUAUUAUUUCAAAUUAUCAUUUUACUUCAAUUUGUAUAUCAUUUUAUGAUUCUUAUAAUUUAUAUUUUUCUAAUAAUUGUUUUAUUUUUUGAAUUCCAGCUCCCAACACAGGCUAACCAUCCAUAAAGCCCUUCUCUCUCUCUCAAAUUCUUUUCUGUGUUGUGCUCCUAUAAAUGAAAUGAAUAAAAGCCAGCUCAGGAAAUGUUGUUUUUAAUGUUGCUAAACAUUUGGAUUUAUUGAGCCUGGCUUUCAUUCAUUUCAUUCAUUAUAGGAGCACAACACAGAAGAAAUUUGAGAGAGAGAAGGGCUUUAUGGAUGGUAAGCCUGUGGUCCCAAGGAUGAAAAAGGCAAGUAGAUUUUUAUUAUCAAUCUUUAAACUAUAUCAUCAAUUGUGCUUGUUUUUCUUUUGUUAUCAAAAACACUAACACUUGGUUCGUUUUUUUUUCUCCACAUCUUGAUUUUCCUGACUGGGAGGUGAUGUUUUCCAGUGUGAAAAGUCUUGGUGAUGACUUGGCCUUCCUGAAAACACUAUAUACACUGGUUUGCACAGUAGCUAAAGGUGGAAUAUUUGUAGAUCAGAGUGUUUCCUGUAGUACUUUCAAGAAAAAUAAAUGUUUUUUGCCUUUUUGAUUA